rnacentral:lncRNA from 1 species
GAUCCGGAGAAAAGGUCACUUUAUUCUCUCUGACCAGAAAAUAGGAGCGGCAGAAAGCAUAGUGGUGAAGCCUCAAGAUUUGGACUCAGAUGGACCUUUGUCAUGUACAAGUCAUUGGCUUUGGAAGGUGGGAAUUUGGAGACAGAGGCACAUGAAGAGCACCAUGUGAAGAUGAAGCCAGAGGUCGGGGUGAUACUUCUAAGAGCUGAGAAUGCCAAGAUUGUCAUGAACUACCAGAAGCCAGGGGAGGGGCCCGGACAGAGUCUCCCUCAUGGGCCUCAGAAGGAACCAACUCUGCUGACACCUUGAUCUUGACCAUCCAGCCCCAGAGCCAUUGGACAGUAAGUUUCCGUUGUUUAAGCCACCCAGUUUGUGGUACUUUCUUAUGGCAGCCCUAACAAACUAAGACACAGGAAAGCCUUGGGGGAAGGCGUUGCAUCUGUCUCUGAGAGGACAUAUUUGGGACCAAGUCCCUCCUGUGACAUCACGGCCAUCCGACGCGUCAUGACCUGUUUGACAGGUACACACCUCCCAGAUAAUAGGCACAGACAUCCUUGGGCAAGGCUGGCCUCUGUGAUGAGCCUGCACACACCUUCCCUGGGUGUGGCAGCUGUGCUAACACCAGUGAAGUGGCUCUGUCUGGGUGCAAGGCCCAGCUUCUCCUGAGGCUCCCUCUAGAUGACAAGCCCAGCCGCACUUACCAAAGCUUUCCCUGAGAUGGACCCCGGAACCCUGAAGUCUCCUGCAGAACUGAUUCAGUUGCACCCACCUCGUGGGAUGCCCUUUAAGGCUUUCCCUAAAUGAGAAGCCCAGUACCCCCUCAGUAUUCUUCUCUGGCAAGGGAGGAGCUCCAUCCCCACCAUAUUAUUUCCAGAAUAAAGAAGUCAACUCUCAGAAAGCUGCAUAUAGGAUGGUACUAUUUAUAUAGAAAACGUGGUCAAAAAAUUUUAUAAAAUGUUACAUAUUUUUCACAGGUACAUGUAGCAUACAUAUAUCCAGGCCUGGAAAGGUCACAACUAAACAAUAGUAGCCGUUUCUGGAGAAUAAUCCUGGGUUUGGAGGCUAUAGACAAAGAGAGCUUUGGCCUUACUUGUAAGGUUUUAAUUUCUUUCUUGUAUUUUUCUUUUUUUAAAAGAUAAAUAUGUUUGUAAAUUGUUUGUGUAAUUAAAAAUUAACUUUAAAAAACAAAAUUGGAAAACUAUAGUACGAUCCAAUUUUGGCUAAAAAUAUAGCUACAGCAAUAUAUAUACCGAGAAAAGCGGGGAAUACAUAUUGAAUUGUUGAAAGUGUGUAUCUCUGCAUAGGGUAGUGACAGGAUGGGAUUAUGGGAGGAUUUUGACUUCCUGUGACGGGUGUUAGGGCCUGAAUAUUUCUGUCCCAUCAAAUCCCUAUGUUGAAACCUAAUCCCUCAUGUGAGGGUAUUUGGAGGCAGGGCAUUUGGUGGCCCACCCUCCUAAAUGGGAUUAGUUCCCUUAUAAAAGAGGCCUGAGAGAGCUCUUUUGCCCCUUCCACCAUGUGAGGACGCAGUGAGAAGAUACUGUCUAUGAACUAGAAAGUGGGUCUUCACCAGACACGGAAUCUGCUGGCACUGUGAUCUUGGACUUCCUAGCCCUCAGAACUGUGAGAAAUAAAUUUCUGCUGUUUGUAAGGCA